rnacentral:lncRNA from 1 species
AUCGUUGUUAACGUCUUUUUCCUAUGAUAUGUGGUCGAGUAUUGGCUCAUUGGCUAUUAUACUACAUAACCAAUCGUCUGUGGUAUAGUGUGACAAUUAUCCAACAACGCCUAAAAGUAAUGGCGACGAUGUUCGCAACUAUAUGUCAUCCUUUAGGAUCACACUAAAUCUGUAUAGCCAGCAUAAAUGUUCUUGAUAUGUCAAAAUGAAAAGCAAUGAAACUAAAACCAAAAAGAUGAGGUUUAUAUUAAAAAACAAGAACUAAAAAUACCUAACCUUAUUGUAGAUACCCACCAGCACAAACCACUGAAAUGCAAGCUCCUGACUUGUUAUAGGCAC